GCGGGGCCGCCCCACGCCCCGCCCCCAUUAACCCUCGCUGGCCCGCGGCCCCCUGAAUGACCGAGCUCCGAGGAGAGGGGGCGGCCACAGCGGCCUCGCGACACCCGUCCCCGGCCGCGCGGGAGGGGCGGGAUGAAUGCGGGCAGGCACCGCGUGGUCCACCCACCUCUCCGUUUCUCGCCGUGUGAGUGGCUCCCCGCCCCUCCCUCGCCUCCGCCGGGUUUUUCGGAGGCUUUCUCGUGGGCUGUGGUCCCGAGUCGUGGCUCCCAAGGGCAGCUCCGCCACUGUCUUUGGCCACGCCAGUCGGGGACGCCGUGCUUCCGGAUGAGGAGAGGAGGCAGCGAGCUGGAGCGCGCAGGACCCUGGUCACGGUCACCCUGCCCCAUCCCAGACCCGCUGUAGGGACCCAAAGUAAGGGUCCCGACUGCCCUGACGGGGAUGGGGCGCGGACAGCAGUCCUCCUCCUUAAGGACUUCUGCCGCUGUAGCGUUGGACAGCGCCGACCUGGGGGUCGGGGGAGGCGCCACGAGGAAUGUUUUUCAAAAGGAGACUUCAUAUCAGGAACAUAAAUAGAAGGUGCCGUAAAAUAAACAUCAGAUGGUCUUGGCUUCUUGUCCUGUUUGGAGGCAUCAGACUAACUCUAAGGAGCGUCCCUGGAACCCUCCAUGGCCUUCGUCCCCCCUGCACCCCGAAUGCUGCCCGUCCCUUUGCUGUAACUGGAAGGCCACCCAGGCCUGCCCCGGAGCCCAGCGGGACACUGGGCGCCCACAGGAUGACAUUAGUCCCCACUCGGACCUGGGGAGGGGCGUACAGGUGAGUGCACCCAGGUCACACCCCUGCGGCUCUUCUGAGCCCAGCGCGGGACGCCAGGCCUCCCUGGCUGAGGCCCAAGCUCCAGGGCCUGUUGGAAACGCUUCCACCCAGCAGGGGGAGGCCAGACCACCCUGGAGUGACACAGGGGCUUCCAGACAAGGUGGUCCCACUGGCCGGGGCUUGAAGACGGCUACUGGAACCCCGAGCACACAGGAUCAGGGGUAUGAGGGUCACCGGAGAGUCCUCCAGGUAGCAGCUGCUCACGGCCACGGCCCCCACAGGCCCUCAGGGCCUGGCUGGCCAGCAGUUUUGGUGUUUGGCCCACACGACGCCCUCAGGGACCCCGACUCCACUCCCUUUGCACUUCCUGUUUCUCCAGCUGUAGUGACCCCUCUCUCCUGUGGAAGAGCAUGGCCGCUGUGAGCCAGCCUCGGGGAGAGACAGUGCUCUUGGCAGGGGGAGGGGUGGGCCCUGCAUUGUGCCCUUCCCUGGUGAGGGGCCCUGGGGCCUGGCGUCGGGGGAGGGGUGCCUAUUGUGGGAGCAGAGCUCCAUUCUCACCAGAUCUGGGCUCUGAGAAGCCGGCAGGUCCUCACUUCAAGGGGACACCAAGCCCCAGCUCCUCUCUGCUGGGCUGGCCAGAGAGGAGUGGCCUUUCUCAAAGUGCCGUCCUCUGCCUCCCUGACAGGUGCCUCCUCUCCUCUGCAGGGGCCUCAGCUUGCCACUGGACCAGAUGCACUGUGGCCUGGGCGUGUGUGUGACUUGGGACAGGGGAGGAGGUGGCCUCCAGGCACCUAUAGCAGGGACCACCAGUGUAAGGGGCAAACCUGAGAGGAGACGCCCCACAGACCCCUGGCCCAGGGCAUGGUGGCCAAGAUGCUGGGAAGGAAAGCAGCGAGGACACCGGCCAAGGAUGCUGGCCGUACCCCAGGGCGGGCCUGUGCCACCUCAGGCCCUGGACCCACCUGUUACAAUGAUGACAGGCACCCCCUGUGCUGGGUGACGCCACUUCGGUUGUGCAGCAGGAGCCUUUGCUCACCGCAGCCGUCUCCUUUUCUUUAGCAGAAAAACAUCACACGUGCCACACCCAUUCUUGUUAAGAAAGCUUCUACUCUGCCAUCCUUGAUCUUUGGGAGCUUGAGUUCCGCAGGCCUGUCUUUCCACAAAGCUGACCGGGGAGUUGCAGCCUCACCCUGCUUGGUCCACAGCUGAGGGAGGAGAGGGAUCCUGGAGGGACCGGGAGAGGGCGCCUUCGGCCGGCCCCGCUCCGCUGCAGCCUCAGAAAUGACUCUUCUCUCCCGUCGGUGUGGAGAAUUGGGAGAAACCUCUCUGUUCUUCUGAUGCUGUAAACUGCUUUUGGACGUGCAGUUUGCACAAAGCUGACGUCGCCAACACCUGGCCUGCCAAGAGUGGAAUCCGUCACCCCUGAAUCCAGCAUUCUGACGAGUCUGUGGCGUCUUGCCCUGACAGUACUAUCCAAACCGACAUCUCUCUUUUCUGAAGGGCACCUGUGCGAUUUCCUUGUGAAGCCAGAAGAAAGCUCUGGAAUUUCCUUCUUCUCCCUUUGUGCAAAAAGUUAUGCUAAACCUCAUAAUUUUGUUGGUUUUCUUAGAGUCGAAAGUCUCUAUGUCCUUUCACCCAACACAGUCUGUUUUUUUCUUGAACGGGUUAUCAGAGCAUUACUCCCCUGAGAGACACUCGUCAGUCAGCUCUGCUGUGGCCAAUGGCUGGCUGUCCUGUUCACCCUUGCGUCCCAGCUCCUCUGCAGAGCUGCAGUCCACACAGCUGCGGUGUGGGCACGCAAUACAUACGUGUCGAUGCAGAACGUGUUGAUGCAGAAAGUAGCAGAAUCUACUCACUUGUCAUUCAGUUACUUUUAAAUGUUCGGGCCUGCCAGGCAGAGAGAACUGGGAAAGAAUAUGGAAUGCCUCCACCAUCUAAGCCCAGUGGUCCAUUCUCAGCCCCACUCUCCCUGACCUCACUGACCGUGCCCUCCCCUUGGGCCUCCUCUCCCUCCCUUCCGUGUCAGCAGCUCCCGGGCGCAGCCUGCCUCUCACCAUCCAGGUGUUACUGCAUUUUGGGGUGGCUGUUGCCCUCUUUACAUUUCUCUUAGCUCAGUCACCCAUUUAAAAUGACGCUUUCUAUGUUUUAUAUGGAUUUUCCACUGACUCAUUGAGAAAGUCUUUCAAGGGAUCAAAUCCACCUUGUUGCUGAAAAUGGGACUUUUUUUUUUGCAGGGGAAGAUUCACCCUAAGCUACCAUCUGUUGCCAGU